GAAGAAUUUGCCACUUGAUCAAUUGAAUUUAACAUCUAUGUCUGAAGAAUUUAAAACUAGGAUGAAGGAGAAUACAGGAGAAGACUGGUACAAGAUACAACAUGUGCCCAACAUCUACAUUUUUUAAUAAUAUUAACAUAUGCAGCCGCGCAAUGGAUAAUAUGUUCAAUUGUUAGUUGCCUUCAAAAGGAGCGGCGUGCGUGAGGAGUGCUUUUGGACUUCAAAGGAACUCCAUAUUAAGUUAGCAAGCAAGGGAACAUACAUGAAGUUUCUUAUAUAUGAACUCUACUUCAAUAAUUGAUGUUUGUGUGGAUGUCUGUGAUUUUAUUUAUGUAAUUUUGUAUGGGUUUGAUAUUUUGUGGUUAUAUGGCCACACAUAUAUGUUUAUAUUUGUGAUUUUAUUUUGUAACGUAAUUGGGUUUGAUACUCUAUCAUUUUAUAUUUAUUUAAGUGUGUGGCAA